rnacentral:tRNA from 1 species
UCUACCAAAGGAUAAUAGUAUUCC